GGCCAACACUCCACCCUACAGCUCAGCAAGGACCGGCAGGAGGAGGACAACAGCGAGACAAAAUGCUGUUUUUUCCGCCGACGCAAGAAAAAGAAGACCACUCGUUAACAAAGCAUCUUUACUACAGUCAAUUAUUUUUAUGGAUUUUUUUGUUAAAUAGUCUUUUAAAAGUUACAAACUUUUACAUGUUGCCAUCUCUGGUGUGUUUCUCCAUUGUUGUUUUUUACUGCAAUAAGAUACUUGUGGUCAUAGUUCAGUGAGUGAGAGUAUUUUAAACCACUGGGAAAUAUCUGUGGGGUGUGGAGACCAGAGGCAGAGACAAGAGUCCGAGGGGAAGUGACUGUAUUUUGUUAUCUGUGUUAUAUUUUACAAUGCCGUCAUUAUUUAUACUAAUUCCAUUGUCACUGUGUGUGUGUUUGCGGAAGUGGCUAAAUUCUUAGACUGGUCAAGAGAGUUUGGUCAGCGUACAAAAAAACUAUAGUGGAUGUAAUGAUUCAUUUUGUGGCUGCACACAUCCUCUUGUGAUUCUCACCACAGGUGCUGUUGUUUCACACGGAGAAAGAGACCACGGAAAGGAAAGAGGCGGAAAUGACAAGAACCGAUGGUGGGGGACAAUGUACGCUAUUUCCCGUUAACGCCGGUCUUUGGAAGGGAUCGUUCUUAUUGCCAGCCCUCGGCUAGAGGCGCCAUCAAUUGGUCUUUUGAGUGAAUCAGAAGACCCAAAUCUCUGACCCAUUCACUUCAUGGAUGGUUAUUGUUAAGUACACACAGGGUUUCCCUGUCUGAUAACUUGUCCAAAUGAAGACCCUGUUCAGAUGUUCCAAUUAUUGUACAAAUUUGCCAAACAGCAAUAUAUUUCUGAGGACUGAAGUGUGAUAAAUUGUUAUUAUAAUACUUAGUAAAUGUUUAUUUUGCAAAUUAUAUGAACUUAUUAAUAAGAUCAAUGAGAUAUUUGUAAGAUGAAAGAUUCCUGUAAUCAGCUUGAGACAGUGGGAAACAAUGGUUUAUAGAUGAUGACUGCGUCAUAUUGCAGCCAGGCCUGUGUGUGUAGCAGAGGUUCGACUCUGUCGUCAGAUGUGUGACGGUCUAUGUUAUAUAUGUGCCAUUUUGUUUAUCUCUUGAGUUCUUGCAUCUCUCUCAAAAAAUCUGUAAACACCAUCUUGCCAGCCUGUGAACAGUAGGGUGAUCUACACCUGUCUGUGAGCGGGGUCAAGAUAGGUAACUAUUCGCCUGUACAAUAGAUAGGUAAUUCUACACCUGUACAAUAAAUAGGUAAAUCUACACCUGUACAAUAUAUAGGUAACCUUACGCCUGUACAAUAUAGUGACAAGUUAACUGUCUGUAAAACAGUGACACAGUGCUGUAAACCCAGAACCAGUGCCAAGGAACAGCUGUAUCCCAAGUUCAAACAAACUUUGUUUGAUAUUUUUUUUGUUUACAACCAUUUUAAAUAGUUGUUUUUAUUUACUUUUCAUGCGGAAAAUUAGAUAAAUUUUCCUCUCAAGAAUGGCAGAUGUAUUAUAUGAAGAGCUUUUUGAAAUGUACUGUACAUACAGUUUUGUUUACAUUUGAUACCAUGGUUCUUGUUUUCUCAGAUUUAUAUACAUCAUUGUAGAAUAUGUAUACAAUUCACUUUCUUCUUUUGUCAAUUUACCAUCAUUUGGGAAGAAACUCAAUCAAGUAUUCUGUCUCCGAGUCCAUAACCAGCAAUAGUAAGGGCCGCUUAGCAAAUCUGGAAUUGAAUCUGACCAGCCCUAUACGCUAAUGUAUAGGGACUCUGUAUCUCUCCCUACACUGCCGUGUGGGCACUGAUUUACACGUGGCCAAAAGCUGUUAGCUUAGUUGUAGGAUUCAUAGCUACUGUAAUGUAAACUAAAUUAUUUUCUUAUUUCAUUACUUUGAUUUAGUUUCAUAACUCGGUCGCUGAAUACAGAAAAUGUCAUGAUAUUGUGAUAGAUAAAUUUUAAAUGAAUUUUACAUUUAAUGAGAGAAAUUCGGCUUGAAAUAAAUCAAUUUUGGGGGGAUUUUUUUUAAAAUAUAGAUUUUGAAAUGCAGAACCCAUUUAUUCUAUUGCUAGAGUUUCUGAUCACGUAUUGAGACCACGACACUCGACUUGAUGUUUGGCGAUGUGUGAUGUUCCUAGGCUUAGAUAUUUUAUAUGUGUCCUAAUUUCACACAACAUUUGAUGUUGUGUUGUAAUUGGCAUAAAAGAAAGUGUGUGUAUCAUAGGGCUUUCAUGAUUACAGAAAGUAAUUCGAGAACAAAUUGUGUCCACGAAGUGUAAGAAACCAUAGGUACCUUGUCAAUAAAGUCAAUAUUGUCAAGGCAUCAAUGGUGGGUCACGUGAUGUCUGGAAGGCGUACGAUUGGUGGGAGGUGUAUCUGUUUUUAUGUAUCAUUUUAACAAUUUGAAUGAAUUUCAUUCUGAUAAGUCUAAAUCGUGUUUUUGCACAAUAGUUCCUUUAUAAUUUAUUUUCUGGACAAGUAAUAUGUUGGAUGCGCGAGAUCUCCGAGGCGGCCAUUGUGAGAAUGUUUGAAUUGUUUUCUUAAUCAGUAUCCAAUAUAAAAACAGGUACAUGUAUAAUCUUUUUGUGUUGAAGGGAUGAGUGAAUACACUGUCUGAUAAAAAAAAAAUUAAUUGUACUAUCAGAAAUAAAUUUCAAACCUU
rnacentral:misc_RNA from 1 species